CGAAGGGCGUAGCGUUGCUCGGAAUCACUGGGCGUAAAGCGCACGUAGGCGGAUUGUUAAGUCAGGGUGAAAUCCUGGAGCUCAACUCCAGAACUGCCUUUGAUACUGGCGAUCUCGAGUCCGGGAGAGGUGAGUGGAACUCCGAGUGUAGAGGUGAAAUUCGUAGAUAUUCGGAAGAACACCAGUGGCGAAGGCGGCUCACUGGCCCGGUACUGACGCUGAGGUGCGAAAGCGUGGGAGCAAACAGGAUU
rnacentral:rRNA from 1 species